rnacentral:misc_RNA from 1 species
AUGGUGAGCAGUUGAUGCUCAUCACAUUAUAUGGUUUAUACAUAUAAUCAUAAGUAGAUAUCAUUAAUGCUCAAUUAUAGUGUUGAGUCAUAUUACCUACAUCGUAAUUUGUUGCCAUCGUGCACUUGGCUGCGAUACCCAAUUGAUAAAUGUGUGAAAUAUUGCCAAGGUAUAUUGAGUUUUAAUCAAUAUAUACUAAUUAGUUUCCAUUUAUCGUGAAGUCUCAGAUUAUUUAUUUAACCGAACUCGAUGGAAAGGUAUAAGGUACAUCGAGAAAAAUGUAGCUGUUUAUGUUUUGUAAAAAACAUAUUUAUGUUGCAUUUUAUUUAUGGUAUGUUUUUCUUAAUAUAUUAUCACACUAAUAUGUAUGUUGAAAUUGUUCAUAUGUAUUAGCCUAUACAAGUAGAUAAAUUAUAUAGUUAUCAUCAAAACAAAAGUGCUCAUUCCGGUAUAUGGAAUUGAACACUGUGUGAUAUAAUAUUAAGUUAAGCGAUCAUAAAAAAAUAUUUUUGAACGAAUUAUGUAUAAUUGUAUAGAUAUAAAAUAGUUAUAAUAAUAUAAAUAUGUCAAUAUAAAAUUAACGAACAUGAACGCCAUAUAAAGAUGGCCAUAUUCGUUUGAUGCAUAUCUAUUUAUAUAUAUUUUAUUCAAAAAUAUAUUAAAAUGUCAUGUUAAUUAAAUUUGUAUAUAUAAAAACUUAUACGUAUAUGUAUAAGUAAAAACAAAAAAAUAACAUUAUUCUGGUUGAUCCUGCCAGUAGUUAUAUGCUUGUCUCAAAGAUUAAGCCAUGCAUGUCUAAGUACACACGAAUUAAAAGUGAAACCGCAAAAGGCUCAUUAUAUCAGUUAUGGUUCCUUAGAUCGUUAACAGUUACUUGGAUAACUGUGGUAAUUCUAGAGCUAAUACAUGCAAUUAAAACACGGACCUUUUGGAACGUGUGCUUUUAUUAGGCUAAAACCAAGCGAUCGCUAGAUCGUUACAUUGGUUGAACUCUAGAUAACAUGCAGAUCGUAUGGUCUUGUACCGACGACAGAUCU